CACCUGCUUUGGGUAAUGAAACAUCUGCAAGAAAGCAACCAAGGUCAGAGAGUAUCAAGAAUCCCUCAUUUCAACCCUGAGCUACAUGUAUUCUCCUUUAUCAGUACAGUUACUCUAGUUUAGCAGCUUUGAGACUGAUUCCCUCCCUCUUCCAUUAAACUCAUUUCAAUAGAUAUUAACGGAUUUUCCAGUCUCAGGCAGGCCAGAAGUGGCUGCGAUCACCCUUCCCAAAGAACACACAGGAGGUCAACCUCAUUCAUCUCUCAGGUGACUCCCAGGCAACCCAAUCUUCCUUACAGAUAUAAACAAGCCCCGCCGUUUUGUUUUGUUUUUUGUCUUUUCCGUUUGCAGCCCAGACGCCACCAGCAAUCGAUAAGGAAGUGCAUUACUGGAUUAAAAGUUUCCCCUCAUUAAUCGCAAAAGUCUAAGGGACCCAGAGUUUAGGACUGGCUUUCCUAUCCCUAGUUGUCAACCAGUACGUAUUUACGACGGUUGCAACAUCACAGGGCCCUAGCCUUCCUCUUGCCUAAGGUGUAUGCCCACGUACAAACACACACGUGUGUACCCAGGGACUCAAGUAGUUCCCUUCCAGCACGACCAAAUGUUUGAAAACGGCAUGCCCAGCCUAGUGACUAUCGCUCAGCCGCUGCAAGGUGCCUCCCUCGGGACGCCAGGUAAGGACAUGGCGAUCCGCGCGCGUGCCUGCCGCGGCCCCCGCCCGCAAAGGUUACCUCCCCACGGCUGAAGGCGAGCUCAGCGCAACACCCUCGGCUCAGGGAAGAGCCUUGUUGACCAGGAAGAGAAAGAGGUUGGAAAGUCACCGAUGCUCGGCAGCGUUAGCACCCGCUAGGAAAUGCUGAGGAGACUUCAGGUGAGCUUCAUGACAAAAGGAAGACUUUGUGUCAACGGAGCAGAUGGGGCUUUUUGCAGCCAAAGAGGGAUGGAGGUGGAGUCGCAUUAACCAAUCAGAGCCUGUUCAGAUUCCAGAAGAGAAUGCUGGAAAAAGUGUAACCUGAAUCUCACCAAAUGAUCUACUGGUUAAUGUUCUCUGGACUUGGAUGAGCAUUCCAGGGGGCUGGGGAAGGAGUAGGGGGUCAUAAGACCUUCCCCAUAAAAAUACAGCCCACCACAAGCUACCUGGGACCAAUUUGGGACCAAUAAAACUAGGAAGAAAGAACUUCUCUUAAAGUGUGGUGUGAACCAAAAGGGUAUACUGUAUUCAGCAGGGAUUCUGUGUAAAUAGGAAAUAUUCCUGCCUGAAAAUGGAAAUCUUUCAGGUUUUGUUACUCCUACUCUCUGGGAGACUUACAAUAAACAAUCAACAUCAUACUGGGGAAUGUCCCUGUAAAGGCAUGUGAAAUUGUAUGAUUCUAUGGGAGUGAGCAGCUCUAAUAAAUGUAAAUAAAUAAACGGUAAGUUGUAUAAUAAUUGCAAGGGUUCAAGUUCACUUGCAUCAGGAAGAAUGGUUCCAAGUUAGCCUUGGGGACCUGGGCCUUCUUUCAUCCUCACAUGUAUCACAGAGUCUCUGGUUAUACAUGUUAGGUGUUACCUGGAACAGAGCAGUACAGAGUGAUGUUACAUUGCAAAGAGUGAUUGUGGGGUUGUGGAUCCUCCUUCCCAAAAUGAUAUUACAUAAGAGUUAUAUAUAAUUUCAGAAAUAUUAUUCCCAGAGAUUUUGAAUUACAGUAUUUACUGGCCAACCCAGCUACUUUUUAACAAUAAAUACUG